UACGUAGGGAGCAAGCGUUGUCCGGAAUCAUUGGGCGUAAAGCGCGCGUAGGUGGCUUCGUAAGUCCGUUGUGAAAGUCAAAGGCUCAACCUUUGAAAGCCGAUGGAUACUGCGGAGCUAGAGUACGGAAGAGGCGAGUGGAAUUCCUGGUGUAGCGGUGGAAUGCGCAGAUAUCAGGAGGAACCACCAUAGGGAAGGCAGCUCGGUGGGAAGGUUCUGGCACUGAAGCGGGAAAGGGUGGGGAGCGAACAGG
rnacentral:rRNA from 1 species